AUACGAAAGGUGCAAGCGUUGUUCGGAUUUACUGGGCGUAAAGAGAGUGUAGGUUGUUUAUUAAGUCGGAUGUGAAAUCCCGGGGCUCAACCUCGGAACUGCAUUCGAUACUGAUAGGCUAGAGUUUGGGAGGGGUAAGCGGAAUUCCGUGUGUAGCAGUGAAAUGCGUAGAUAUACGGAGGAACACCUGAGGCGAAGGCGGCUUACUGGACCAAUACUGACACUGAGACUCGAAAGCGUGGGUAGCAAACAGGAUUAGAAACCCGGGUAGUCC
rnacentral:rRNA from 1 species